rnacentral:rRNA from 1 species
AUGGGGGUGCUGCGGAGCACGCACAGCAUGGCGGCGGAGGUGGAGGAGAUGCGGGCGGCGCUGCUGCUCGGCGCCGGUGGCCCCGCGUGGAGUUGGCGGCGGAGGGGCGCGGCCGCGGCGGCCAAGCGCGUGGCCGGCGCCGAGGAGGGCGCCGCGGAGGCGCGCGCCGUGUGCGUCACGGGCGGCAUCUCCUUCCUCGGCCUCGCCGUCGUCGACCGCCUCCUCCGCCACGGCUACGCCGUCCGCCUCGCCCUCGAGACCCAAGAGGAUCUGGACAAGCUGAGGGAGAUGGAUUUGUUCGGUGAGAAUGGCAGGGAUGGGGUCUGGACUAUUAUGGCAAAUGUCAUGGACCCGGAGAGCUUGCACCGAGCUUUCGAUGGCUGUGUUGGUGUCUUCCAUACCUCAUCACUCGUCGAUCCAGGAGGCAUCUCCGGCUACACGAAACACAUGGCGACUCUGGAAGCCAAGGCGGCAGAGCAGGUGGUGGAGGCGUGCGUGAGGACGGAGUCGGUGAGGAAGUGCGUCUUCACCUCGUCGCUGUUGGCCUGCGUGUGGAGGCAGAGCUACCCUCACCGCCACCGGUUCCCCGCCACCGUCGACGAGAGCUGCUGGAGCGACGAGGCCUUCUGCCGUGAGAAGAAGCUGUGGUUUGCGCUCGGCAAGACGAUGGCGGAGAAGGCGGCGUGGAGGGCGGCGCGGGGCCGGGACCUGAAGCUCGUGACGGUGUGCCCCGCGCUGGUGACCGGGUCGGGUUUCCGCCGACGCAACUCCACCCCCUCCAUUGCCUACCUCAAAGGUCUCUGUCUCUGUCUACUCAGUGUGUUUGCAUCGAGCCAGCAUUGUCCUCAGAGCACUGACAAACUGUUUGGUUCCUUCGAUGAAAAUAUCAGGGGCGCACACCAUGCUGGCGGAGGGCCUGCUGGCGACGGCGGACGUGGAGCGGGUGGCGGAGGCGCACGUGCGCGUGUACGAGGCGAUGGGCGGCACCGCCGGCGGCAGGUACAUCUGCUACGACCAUGUCGUGCGGCGCGCCGAGGAGUUCGCGGAGCUGGAGCGCCAGCUGGGGCUCCGGCCGAGGGCGCCGCCGCCCCCGGCCGCCGCGCCGCCGUCGUUCGAGCUCUGCAACCGGAAGCUGGCGCGGCUGGUGUCCUCCCGGAGGCGGUGCACCCACGACGCCUACCUCCCCGUCGCGUACGACUGACCCGACCGGGAGAAUGA